rnacentral:rRNA from 1 species
UACGGAGGGAGCUAGCGUUGUUCGGAAUUACUGGGCGUAAAGCGCGCGUAGGCGGCUUUGUAAGUUAGAGGUGAAAGCCCGGAGCUCAACUCCGGAACUGCCUUUAAAACUGCAUCGCUUGAAUCCAGGAGAGGUGAGUGGAAUUCCGAGUGUAGAGGUGAAAUUCGUAGAUAGUUCGGAAGAACACCAGUGGCGAAGGCGGUCUCACUGGAGCUGGUAUUGACGC